CACGUAGGGCGCAAGCGUUGUCCGGAAUUAUUGGGCGUAAAGAGCUCGUAGGUGGUUUGUUACGUCUGCUGUGAAAACCUAGGGCUUAACCCUGGGCUUGCAGUGGAUACGGGCAGACUAGAGGUAGGUAGGGGAGAAUGGAAUUCCUGGUGUAGCGGUGAAAUGCGCAGAUAUCAGGAGGAACACCGGUGGCGAAGGCGGCUCUCUGGGACGGUACUGACGCUGAGACGCGAAAGCGUGGGGAGCAAACAGG
rnacentral:rRNA from 1 species